rnacentral:rRNA from 4 species
UCUCCGUUGGUGAACCAGCGGAGGGACAUUA